AUUGAACGCUGGCGGAAUGCUUUGCACAUGCAAGUCGAACGGCAGCACGGACUUCGGUCUGGUGGCGAGUGGCGAACGGGUGAGUAAUGUAUCGGAACGUGCCCAGUCGUGGGGGAUAACGUAGUGAAAAUUGCGCUAAUACCGCAUACGAUCUAUGGAUGAAAGCGGGGGAUCGCAAGACCUCGCGCGAUUGGAGCGGCCGAUAUCAGAUUAGGUAGUUGGUGGGGUAAAGGCCCACCAAGCCAACGAUCUGUAGCUGGUCUGAGAAGACGACCAGCCACACUGGGACUGAGACACGGGCCAGACUCCUACGGGAGGCAGCAGUGGGGAAUUUUGGACAAUGGGCGAAAGCCGGAUCCAGCCAUUCCGCGUGCAGGAUGAAGGCCCUCGGGUUGUAAACUGCUUUUGUACAGAACGAAAAGGUUUCUACUAAUACUAGGAGCUCAUGACGGUACUGUAAGAAUAAGCACCGGCUAACUACGUGCCAGCAGCCGCGGUAA
rnacentral:rRNA from 1 species